CAAAGCCCGCGCGUGCAAUUCCUAACCUACUGAAAAGUUUCCGGGGACAAAUUGACUGGUACAACAUUGGAAAAACCAUCACGAACUGCGCUAAUGUUGCUCAAGGAAAAGGCUACAAGGUGUUUGGCAUGCAGUUCUAUGGAGAAUGUUGGAGUGGUAGUGCCGACACGGUACAGUAUGAUAAGUACGGAAUCGCACCUCCCCAGAUGUGCUGGCAAGGAGUUGGAAAGAGCUGGACAAACUACGUUUAUAAAAUAAUAUAGGAUCAGGAGGGAGGUAUCAAUUCACACAGGGAUUUAUUCAAAUGUCAUGAGCACAACGCUCUGGAAACUAAUACUAAUUACACUUGGUUUCUGUAAUUUUGAAAAUCUCAAUAAAGAAAAUCAACCUUG